rnacentral:rRNA from 1 species
UGGGGAAUGUUGGACAAUGGGGGCAACCCUGAUCCAGCCAUGCCGCGUGUGUGAAGAAGGCCUUUUGGUUGUAAAGCACUUUAAGCAGUGAAGAAGACUCCAUGGUUAAUACCCAUGGACGAUGACAUUAGCUGCAGAAUAAGCACCGGCUAACUCUGUGCCAGCAGCCGCGGUAAUACAGAGGGUGCAAGCGUUAAUCGGAAUUACUGGGCGUAAAGCGAGCGUAGGUGGCUUGAUAAGUCAGAUGUGAAAGCCCCGGGCUUAACCUGGGAACGGCAUCUGAUACUGUUAGGCUAGAGUAGGUGAGAGGAAGGUAGAAUUCCAGGUGUAGCGGUGAAAUGCGUAGAGAUCUGGAGGAAUACCGAUGGCGAAGGCAGCCUUCUGGCAUCAUACUGACACUGAGGUUCGAAAGCGUGGGUAGCAAACAG